rnacentral:rRNA from 1 species
GGCAGCGCGGGGGCAACCCUGGCGGCGAGCGGCGAACGGGUGAGUAAUACAUCGGAACGUGUCCAGUAGUGGGGGAUAACCAGUCGAAAGAUUGGCUAAUACCGCAUACGAUCUACGGAUGAAAGCGGGGGACCGUAAGGCCUCGCGCUGUUGGAGCGGCCGAUGUCCGAUUAGCUAGUUGGCGGGGUAACGGCCCACCAAGGCGACGAUCGGUAGCUGGUCUGAGAGGAUGAUCAGCCACACUGGAACUGAGACACGGUCCAGACUCCUACGGGAGGCAGCAGUGGGGAAUUUUGGACAAUGGGCGCAAGCCUGAUCCAGCCAUGCCGCGUGAGUGAAGAAGGCCUUCGGGUUGUAAAGCUCUUUCGGCGGGGACGAAACGGUCCGUGACAACACCACGGACUAAUGACGGUACUCGCAGAAGAAGCACCGGCUAACUACGUGCCAGCAGCCGCGGUAAUACGUAGGGUGCGGGCGUUAAUCGGAAUUACUGGGCGUAAAGCGUGCGCAGGCGGUCCUUAAGUCAGAUGUGAAAGCCCCGGGCUUAACCUGGGAACUGGUUUGAAACUGGGGAGCUGGAGUGUGGCAAGAGGGGGGCGUGGGAAAUUCCCAGGGUGGUUAGCGGGGUGGAAAUUGCGGUUAGAGAAUGUGGGAGGGAACACCCGGAUGGGCGAAAGGGCAGGCCCCCCUGGGGGCUAAAC